AUACAGAGGGUGCGAGCGUUAAUCGGAAUUACUGGGCGUAAAGCGCGCGUAGGCGGUUAAUUAAGUCAAAUGUGAAAUCCCCGAGCUUAACUUGGGCAUUGCAUUGGAUACUGGUUAGCUAGAGUAUGGGAGAGGAUGGUAGAAUUCCAGGUGUAGCGGUGAAAUGCGUAGAGAUCUGGAGGAAUACCGAUGGAGAGGGCAGGUAUCUGGCCUAAUACUGACACUGAGGAGUGAAAUCAUGGCAAGUAAACAGGAUUAUAUACCCUGCUAGUCCAUGCCGUAAGCGAUGUCUUCUAGCCGAUGUGGGCUUUGAUCCUUUAGUGGCUCAGCUAAAGCGAUAAGUAGACCCCCUGGGCGGUACGGUCGCCAUGCUCACGCUCUACUGACUUUACAGCC
rnacentral:rRNA from 1 species